GCACGGGUCCUCUUAUUGGCGAGAUCAAACCGUUAAAUAUGACGACUGACCUAGAUACACGUUGGGAUAAACACAGCCAUAUAAGUGCAUUAAAUGCGUAAAAUCAACAAUAGACUUUGAAUAAACAGCCUUACAAUUGGAACCAGGAUUUAUUCUGAUUGACGAAUACGCUACGAUAAUGGUUCAAUCCACACCGUUUAGUUUGUCAGGUAGAGGGGUCGAAGUGGGUGACUUAGGUUCAUUGGUAUCAUAUGGAAUCUCAUGAAUUUAGCCAGAAGUCAGAUUAUGUGUGGUAGCACUUUCAAACCAGAAGCUUUUAUUAUGGACCGAGUUGAAUGGCAGUGAACAUUUGUACAAAGCAGGUGGAUUGCUAGAAGUUCUUAGGGAAGAUAGACUGCGGUCAUUAGGAGAAGAGGGUCUCACCGACGACGAGAGAGCGGAGAAAAUAGAAGCGAAGGAAUUCAGUAGGCUACCACCCAAAUUACAGAAAAAUGCGUUAUCACUGGUCAACUUACAGAAUGGUUGCAGUAAAGAAGACAUGGCAGCACGGACAGGUAUAAUAAGACUCUACGAAUACAUCUUCUUAAUGUAUAGACCCGUCUUAGAAAUAUGAAAUAACCUAAAAAAUUAAGGAUGUAUUUAUUUUUUCUGUUUUUGUGGUGAUUUUCCUAACCAUACUUACACCAUAUUUACGCUAUGACUAUUAAACGUGUUUCAACUUACGACAGUGGGAAAAUUGUCUUGAGUAGCACAGAAAGCAAGGUUUAUUGUGCAUUAAUAUUGC
rnacentral:misc_RNA from 1 species